GAUAGUGGCGAACGGGUGAGUAACACGUGGGCAAUCUGCCCUGCACUCUGGGACAAGCCCUGGAAACGGGGUCUAAUACCGGAUACUGAUCCUCGCGGGCAUCUGCGAGGUUCGAAAGCUCCGGCGGUGCAGGAUGAGCCCGCGGCCUAUCAGCUUGUUGGUGAGGUAAUGGCUCACCAAGGCGACGACGGGUAGCCGGCCUGAGAGGGCGACCGGCCACACUGGGACUGAGACACGGCCCAGACUCCUACGGGAGGCAGCAGUGGGGAAUAUUGCACAAUGGGCGAAAGCCUGAUGCAGCGACGCCGCGUGAGGGAUGACGGCCUUCGGGUUGUAAACCUCUUUCAGCAGGGAAGAAGCGAAAGUGACGGUACCUGCAGAAGAAGCGCCGGCUAACUACGUGCCAGCAGCCGCGGUAAUACGUAGGGCGCAAGCGUUGUCCGGAAUUAUUGGGCGUAAAGAGCUCGUAGGCGGCUUGUCACGUCGGUUGUGAAAGCCCGGGGCUUAACCCCGGGUCUGCAGUCGAUACGGGCAGGCUAGAGUUCGGUAGGGGAGAUCGGAAUUCCUGGUGUAGCGGUGAAAUGCGCAGAUAUCAGGAGGAACACCGGUGGCGAAGGCGGAUCUCUGGGCCGAUACUGACGCUGAGGAGCGAAAGCGUGGGGAGCGAACAGGAUUAGAUACCCUGGUAGUCCACGCCGUAAACGGUGGGCACUAUGUGUGGGCAACAUUCCACGUUGUCCGUGCCGCAGCUAACGCAUUAAGUGCCCCGCCUGGGGAGUACGGCCGCAAGGCUAAAACUCAAAGGAAUUGACGGGGCC
rnacentral:rRNA from 1 species